CAGUUCAGAUUGUAGGCUGCAACUCGCCUACCAUGAAGUCGGAAUUGCUAGUAAUCGCGGAUCAGCAUGCCGCGGUGAAUACGUUCCCGGGCCUUGUACACACCGCCCGUCACACCAUGAGAGCCGGUAACACCCGAAGUCAGUAGCCUAACCGCAAGGGGGGCGCUGCCGAAGGUGGGAUUGGUAAUUGGGGUGAAGUCGUAACAAGGUACC
rnacentral:rRNA from 1 species